UACGUAGGGUGCAAGCGUUGUCCGGAAUUAUUGGGCGUAAAGAGCUUGUAGGCGGUUUGUCGCGUCUGCUGUGAAAUUUCGGGGCUCAACCCCGAACUUGCAGUGGGUACGGGCAGACUAGAGUGUGGUAGGGGAGACUGGAAUUCCUGGUGUAGCGGUGAAAUGCGCAGAUAUCAGGAGGAACACCGAUGGCGAAGGCAGGACUCUGGCG
rnacentral:rRNA from 1 species